GAUGAACGCUAGCUACAGGCUUAACACAUGCAAGUCGAGGGGAAACGGCAUUGAGUGCUUGCACUCUUUGGACGUCGACCGGCGCACGGGUGAGUAACGCGUAUCCAACCUUCCCAUUACUGUGGGAUAACCUGCCGAAAGGCAGACUAAUACCGCAUAGUCUUCGAUGACGGCAUCAGAUUUGAAGUAAAGAUUUAUCGGUAAUGGAUGGGGAUGCGUCUGAUUAGCUUGUUGGCGGGGUAACGGCCCACCAAGGCAACGAUCAGUAGGGGUUCUGAGAGGAAGGUCCCCCACAUUGGAACUGAGACACGGUCCAAACUCCUACGGGAGGCAGCAGUGAGGAAUAUUGGUCAAUGGACGGAAGUCUGAACCAGCCAAGUAGCGUGCAGGAUGACGGCCCUAUGGGUUGUAAACUGCUUUUGUAUGGGGAUAAAGUUAGGGACGUGUCCCUAUUUGCAGGUACCAUACGAAUAAGGACCGGCUAAUUCCGUGC
rnacentral:rRNA from 1 species